rnacentral:lncRNA from 1 species
UGCACUUAGCACUUUUAGGAUACUUGUUGAUGGUUUAAGUAAAAAUCUAUGUAUUAUUCUGCAAUAUUUCUUAAACCUUCUUUGUGAAAGUUUGAUCGCAGUUAGUCACCUGAUUGUCUGUGUGAUGGAGCAUGAAGAAAAUUAUCUCAAGAAAAAAAGAAAAAAAAAGAAAGCAAAAAAUGUAUCCAGCCCUAAAGAAAUUCUAGAAUUAAUCUAUUUUUUUAAGAAGGAAAAUAUUAAGGAAGUAAUCCUUAAUUCGAUCCUUAAAUUUGAUGCAAUCAUGAGAAAGGAAGUUGGGAAGAAUAGGAAGACUCGUAUUGUUUUAUACUGUUAAAGUGAGUGGGAAUUCAGUUCCAGCUGGUGCAACCACCGCUACAACGUAUUGACUAUGGUUAUGCAAGAACAGCACACUCUUCUCCGACUGCCUACGAUGCAAAGGCGUAUUAUCAGCAACAGGCAACUCCAGCAACUCCUGUAACACCUGCAUAUUCAACAUCAGACUAUCAAACUGCAGGAGCUGCGAUAGUGAAGCCGCAGUACAGUGCUACGUAUUCUACAGACAACUCCUCAGAGGCAAGUGGUACCGCCCAAGCCUGCAGUUUCAGCUGUUCAGUACAGUCAGUAUGCGCCGCCUCAGCAACAGCAGCAGACCCCAGCGCAAGCAGUUAGCAGCUACACUGCCAGUUACUCUACGCUGCAAGCAUUCAGCCCACAUCUCAACUAAACAAGUAAAAAAAAUUGUAGCUCUAGUUAAUAAUGUUCAUGGUUGUUCUUCUUUCCACCGUUUUGAGAUGUCAUCUUGGAAAUUAUUGAUUGAUCUAAUUUAAUUUGAGCAAGUGCGCCCAACAUUUUUAUCAGCAUUUAGAAAUUUCUCUUUGGAUUCUUGUGCAAAUCUUGAUGGAAAAAAUGAGUCUUGAAAUGAUACAGUUAAAAUACUUUGAUAAAGUGGUAAAAAUGGCUCAGAAGCCAGUCAAUACUGACAAAUCAUUCAAAGAAAACUGUUGUUUACAAUGAUGACAAACGACUAAUCCCAGCUCGCUUUGAUGUUUCUUCAAAUGAAGAGAAUUUGUUCCUCACACUCAUAACUGAUAAAAACAACAGUUUUCAAAUGACUAUUUUCAAAUACUUUCUGUUCAGUAUCUUUCCAUUUGCACUCGCCUCUCAUCUUCACAAAAGUGGAAGGAGGCUCCAGGAGAGUUAACCUUAUAAGUACUGUGCUUGAUAUGAUGACACUCAACUAAUCCCAGCUCGCUUUGAUGCUCAAUCAGAUGAAGAGAACUUGUUCCUCACGUUCUAAACUGAUAUGCAACAGUACUCAUCAAAUACUUUUCCUUAUGCUAUUUUCCUUUCUAUGUCACAAAUUGCCUCUCCGAUUGUGUGCCAAGUAAAGAAUUCCAAGUAGUAAGACUCAAAUGAGAACUGUUCUUAAAAUGAUGACUCUCAACUAAUCCCAGCUCGCUUUGAUGCUCAUUCAGAUGAGAGAACUUGUCCUCACGUUCUAAACUGAUAUGCAACAGCUCUCAUCAAAUACUUUCUGUUCCAUAUCUUCCCAUUUUCACUUGCCUUUCAUCUUCACGAAAGUGGAGUGAGGCUCCCGGAGAGUCAAUCUAAUAACUGUUGCUUGAUAUGAUGACACUCAACUAAGUAAUCCCAGCUCGCUUUGAUGCUUUUUCAGAUGAAGAGAACUUGUUCCUCACAUUCUAAACUGAUAUGCAACAGUACUAGCAAAUACUUCUUUGUGUUAUCUUCUUUCUGUGGCACAAAUUUGCCUCUCCGAUUUUGUGGCCCAAGCAAAGAAUUCCAAGUAGUUAGAUUCAAAUGAGAGCUGUUCUUAAAAUGAUGACACUCAACUAAUCCCAGCUCGCUUUGAUGCUCAUUCAGAUGAAGAGAACUUGUUCCUCACGUUCUAAACUGAUAUGCAACAGCUCUCAUCAAAUACUUUUCCCUCUUCAAAUUUUGUGCUGA